CUUGGGUAACGCUCCUUGGUUUAUGAUGGCACAGGUGUUGGGUACAGAUGCAUGGCUCAGAUUGACGAGAAUGCGACAUAUUGUCACGGUGACCUCUAUUGGCUGCUCUACACUUCGGUCAGAGUUUGGCAGGAUGGCAACCAGCUCCGAUUAUACCUCUCCAGAGCAAGCUGUGAGGUUCUGCAGUGCUCCAAUGGAGGCCUCCUUUGUGUGCUGGUUUGUGCUGACGGCAAUGAGAGAGAGAUACAUGCGGACAGUGAUGGCGCUCCAGAGCCACUCCAAACCGUGAGGGCUGCCGUUCUCUUCGAGUAGGGGAUAGUCUGCAUCUGGUUCCUGAGACUGCUCCUGCAUGCUGAUCAGUGAGCCAGGUUGGGAGGGUCGUCUUCCUGCAACAAACUCCAGGCUUGGCUUCCGUAUUCGGCUCUGCCAGGACACGUUCUCUGAUUGUUCCUGAAGACCAAAACCCCCCCCUCUCGGGCUGCAGAGGGUCUUCUGAAGGGCUUAAUGGGGAGCUGAGUGACAGCCGACAGGCCUGCGAACUUCGGGCUUCGCAAAACCUCGGAGUGGGCAUAAUGUAAAGUUUGUUUGUUCAUAUGGAAACGGUUGACUGUAGGGACAGAGGGGAGACUGAGAGAAGUAGCCCCCCAGCAUAAAGCCAGCUGUUUAGUGUUGUAACGAAAGCUUCCAUAGCCUCUGUGAGAUCGAGGUGGCUCGGUACUUGACCACUGAGAUCGAUCAACCAUCCGUGACAACCUUGUGGCUUCAUGAAUGACGGUGAACGUCCGCUGCAAAGUGUAGACUUCCUAAAGAUGUACUACUGGAAAUAUGACAGCUGGAUAGACUGUCUGAGAGAGAUGACUCUGCAACGCCCAAAACACACACAGUUGGACUGCAUACAAUACAACACAAUGGAAAACAUACUCUUCAUGAUCACUUGCAGAUCCUACUAAAUAGGUCUGAAUGAGUUCUGACAAACUAAGGAAGGAUUCACUUUUCUCAACUCACAAAAAGUUACCAAAUGUGUUACAUGUAUUUGUAUUUGUGAUUUGUAAUGUAUUUGUAACAUUGUUAUAUUACAUAGUUAUUAUAUAUAUUUUUUAUCUAACUAUUUUUCUAUCUAAAUAUCUAUGUAUCUAUCUAUCUAUCUAUAUUAUAGUUGUAUAUAUAGUUGUAUUUCGACUUCAGAUAUUAUUUGAAGUUCCUUGAAGUACUAUGUAAAUAUAACGCUACAUGAAGAUAAGUUAUGUAUAAUUAUUCAGUACCGUGUUAUACAUCAAAGUCAAUUUGAUAUCACACUGAUACUAUGGUAGAACCAAAGUAUUUUUGUAAAGAAUAUAUAUUUAAAAAAAUUAAGGAAUAAAUAUGUUUUUGUAUGUUAUUUUACACACAAAUAAAAUGUAAAAUAAAACCAAAAGACAGAGUUAAGAACAAAGGACCAAUGAAAGCUGACCAUAAACAUUUGACUGAGAUCCUGUAAUUUUUCAAGAAAUA